CUCUAAUAUUACUGCGUCACCGCCUCCCGCGCUGCUAGGCCCCGGCCACCGCGAUCAGGCAGGCCGCGGACCGCCCUCCCCCGUUACCACACUCCUGUUUACCUGAGGACAUGAUGGCGGCAACAGAGAUCACCGAGCCUCGCACAAAAUGUAGGCACCGCGCGCGGGGAAAUCUAUCGACUGUGUGUGUGUGUACGGCGAGGAUGUCACCAGAGCGCGACGGCAGGAAGGCAGGCACGCUCACUCUAAAGGCAAAAGAGGCC